UGGUUUAUUUUUGACUGGAGCGCUAACGCUAACCAGAAACCAGCGGGCUUGCAUUAACGCAGAAUGACAAAUCUAGAAAUCAGGACUUUAUUAGUUGCAGUCGCCAUUCAUGGAGUCUUGGGUCAGAUCAAACUGGAGCAGUCGCCCUCUGUGGUGAAAAAGCCCGGAGAAGCAGCAAAGCUAUCCUGCUCUGUGAAUGGAUUUGACAAAGCUAACGAGUUUGUUCACUGGACACGGCAAAAGACAGGGAAAACUCUUGAGUGGAUCGGAAGACAGUCACUGUCAUGAUAGUGAAUGAGAUGGCAGCACUGUGAUGCCUUAGAUUACUGGGGUGAAGGGACCAGAGUCACAGUGACUUCAGAACCACCUGUACCUCCGGUUCUGGUCCCGAUGGUUUGGUUCAGUCCUGCAUCUGGAGAUAAAGUCACCCUCAGCUGCAUGGCUCUUGACUUCUACCCACAGAGUCUUUCUUUUGAGUGGAGCGAUGCGAGUGGAGCACCACUGGAUUCUGUACGUUAUCCUGCAGUAGAAACAAACAACAGAUUUACAGAAGUCAGUUUGGUUCAAAUGUCCAGAUCUGAAGCAAAUCUAAAGUCUUAUCGAUGUUCAGUGACUCAUCCUGGUGGCACCAAGACUGUGGAUGCAAAAUGGGCCUCCUGUACCCCAAAACUGACUGUACUCUCGGUGACAACUGGAGACGGUCAGACACUUGUGUGCGUCAUUGAGGAUUUUUCUUCUGAAAAUCUUUUAACCAAAUGGAAAAGGAAUGGCAGUGAAGUGUCUGGACACAAUGAAUGGCCUCCCAAAAAACUCGGAGACUCGUAUUCAGCCGCCAGCGUCCUAAAAUUGAAGAGCUCUGACUGGGAGAGUGAAGCUGUUUACUCAUAUGAAGUGACUUACCUUGGAAAAACUUACACAAAGAAAGCUUCAAAAGCUCCUACCACAGUGACACUGAAACCUCCGAGUCCUAAAAAAAUGUUCAGCAACAACCAGGCAGAGUUGGAGUGUGUCGUCUCUGGACAGGACAAUGACAUUGUGUCAGGGACUGAAAUCACCUGGGAGAUUAAUGGAGAACUUAUGAGAAGUAAGAUUAAGGAAGCAACAAUGUUUGAAGGCAGUAAACACAGCAUCAUCACUUUUAAUUCCUCCGACUGGAGGACAGUGAGCAAAGUGAGAUGUUCUGCUGUAGCAGAAGACGUGGGACCAGUUAUUCAAGACCUGACUGUCAACAAAGGAGACGGCACAGAGCCAAAAGUAACAGUCCACGUGCUUCCAGAGAAGGAUAUUGGCAAAGAAGCAUCAGCUCAGGUCACUCUGGUGUGUUUGGUUUCCAGUGAUGUCCUUCAGGAUUACUAUAUUGCCUGGACUGAAGAUGUUGGACAAAGUAGCUCAGUGUGUUACGAUGGCAUCGACUUUCCACCAAGAAAGACCAAAAAUGGCUACUCAGUUGUAAGUGUUUACGCCACCAACAAGGAGAAGUGGAGCGGAGGCUACGUCUUCUAUUGCAACGUGUGGCCUGCCGGCCGUGGGAAUCCCAUGAAACCCAGUGGAGUGUCUCGGGCCAUGGAUUUCUCCAGUCUGACAUUUCCUCUGAACAGCAAAGAUAAAGGUGGUGAUGAAGAUGAAUACAGCAGCCUUUGGUUCAUGGCCUCGUCUUUCCUAUUCCUCUUCAUAUUCAGUCUGUCAUACAGCUUAAUGCUCACCCUGCACAAGAUGAAACAAGAGCAGAGGAAUGUGCGACAAACACAGUAGUCUUUUCUUGUCUAUUGGAAUGGAUGAACCAUCACAAAGUUGUACAUUUCCAGUCAGAUCUGUUUAUGCUUUUUAACAUGUAUUCUUCAAAAACGUAGCAGUUAUCUGUUUUCUUAGAAAUGCACAUGAGUAAUUUUAUGUUUUUACUGUAGUUAUCAAAGUGUUGCCAUCCUAAAAGUGCUGUAAUGUUGUUUACAUUUCAAUACAGUAUAUUGAUGAUCUCUUAACAAUCUGUAACUUAUGUUUCCAUAUACAGUUAAACAAUGCUGUCUUCUUUUAGAGCUGGUGAUAACAACGUACAGCAAGAAUCACUGUUAUGGCAUCUUUUGUAGUUUUUAAUUUUCAUGUGUGUUGAAAACAUUAAAUAUGUAAAUGCAAACAAGAACUUUUGAGGUUUUCUUUUUACCAGAUCAGAGAAGACAUCAGUUUUUUCAGAUAACGACCCUUCAAGCCUUUAUAGCGUGACCGGCCGUUAUCAGUUAAGUCUUGUAGGUUUCCAGUUUCCCUUCAGAGAGCCGAUUCCUCUUUCUCUGUGUACCUCUGAGAAAACACCUGCAGCUGUGAAACUUUGUGAAAACCACCAGAAAUAUAAAUAAAACUUUCAGACGGCAGAAACGCAUCUGACUCCUUUCAUUUGAAUGUCAGCUGUAGCUCUCAGUUCAAGCUGCUUCCUGACUUACAUCUUGACAUAAAAUGAUCAAGCAGUAGGUCGGUGAAGGAAAUACCUCAUAUUUUGCGACUUUCUUUUUGAUGAAACAUUAAAAAUGUGAGAUAUCAACCUUUUAGGCAUUUAUCUUCAACCCUCAUUUGA